rnacentral:lncRNA from 1 species
AUGCCUCUGAUCACUGUUCCACUUUGGUCUAAGAAGUUUGGGUUUAUUGCGUAAACCAAAUACUUUGGGACUAUCCAACUGAAACUCGUAGUCGCUGAUAACUCGAUGUUUGAUUUCUCCUGUAGUACACUUAAAGCCUGAAGUGAGGCCACUACGUCAGUCAUGGAAGGACGUUCUUUCGGAUCAUUGUGCACACAACGAUCUGCAAUUUGAGCGAACCGUUUUAAACACUUUGUAGAAAUCGUUCCCUUGAUAUUAGAAUCAACGAUUUGAUCUAAUUUUCUUUCUUUGACACAUCUUUGAGCCCACCUUACCAAACUACAUUCGUCCUCCUC